GGGGGCGAUUAGGAUUCGACAGGAUUCACGAAACCCUGGGAGCAUGUCGAGGGGCGGUUGGCCUCGUAAAAAGCCGCAAAGUUAUAGUUGCAAACGACGAUAACAUCUCUCUAGCAGCUUAGGCUAGCUAGCCAUCCUGCUCACGUUUCUCAAAUGGGCAGAGUAUUUGGAUGGUCAUCUCACAUUUGAUAGCGAGGGAACCUUGUUUGGGGGUGAACCGCGAAACAGUACCAAACUCGCCUGAGAAAAUCCUGUCUUUCGGAGUUUCUUCAGGUUAACCAAUAGAAAGACUAAACAUGUAGCGCCUUGGAUGUAGGCUUUCUGGACGGGGGUUCAAAUCCCCCCGCCUCCACCA
rnacentral:tmRNA from 2 species